CCUACGGGAUGCAGCAGUCGAGAAUCAUUCACAAUGGGGGAAACCCUGAUGGUGCGACGCCGCGUGGGGGAAUGAAGGUCUUCGGAUUGUAAACCCCUGUCAUGUGGGAGCAAAUUAAAAAGAUAGUACCACAAGAGGAAGAGACGGCUAACUCUGUGCCAGCAGCCGCGGUAAUACAGAGGUCUCAAGCGUUGUUCGGAAUCACUGGGCGUAAGGCGUGCGUAGGCUGUUUCGUAAGUCGUGUGUGAAAGGCGCGGGCUCAACCCGCGGACGGCACAUGAUACUGCGAGACUAGAGUAAUGGAGGGGGAACCGGAAGUCUCGGUGUAGCAGUGAAAUGCGUAGAUAUCGAGAGGAACACUCGUGGCGAAGGCGGGUUCCUGGACAUUAACUGACGCUGAGGCACGAAGGCCAGGGGAGCGAAAGGGAUUAGAUACCCUUGUAGUC
rnacentral:rRNA from 1 species